rnacentral:rRNA from 1 species
UCGAGCGAAUGGAUUAAGAGCUUGCUCUUAUGAAGUUAGCGGCGGACGGGUGAGUAACACGUGGGUAACCUGCCCAUAAGACUGGGAUAACUCCGGGAAACCGGGGCUAAUACCGGAUAACAUUUUGAACCGCAUGGUUCGAAAUUGAAAGGCGGCUUCGGCUGUCACUUAUGGAUGGACCCGCGUCGCAUUAGCUAGUUGGUGAGGUAACGGCUCACCAAGGCAACGAUGCGUAGCCGACCUGAGAGGGUGAUCGGCCACACUGGGACUGAAACACGGCCCAAACUCCUACGGGAGGCAGCAGUAGGGAAUCUUCCCCAAUGGACGAAAAUCUGACGGAACAACGCCGCGUGAGUGAUGAAGGCUUUCGGGUCCUAAAACUCCUGUUGUUAGGGAAAAACAAGUGCUAGUUGAAAAAGCUGGCACCUUGACGGUACCUAACCAAAAA